ensembl:antisense 2810001G20Rik RIKEN cDNA 2810001G20 gene
CUCUUGUCACUUCCGGCUCCCAGCGCUCUCUGAAAGCUAGGCUAGCGGAGCUUAUAAAGAUCGGAUGGUAGAGCUUUCGCUUUCCCCUCAGACGCUCCAGAUGUAGACUAGGUGAGCUCUCUGCCCGGGAGGGACAGAUCGUCGGAGCCCGCGGGCGGAAGGCGAGUCGUGGCGGGGUUAGGGCUCUGGAGUCCGGCCCGGCCCGGCAGUCCCCUGAGCUUGAAAGAAUUGAAUGCCUCCUCAGUUGUCACCCAGGCUGAUCUUGCGCAGGCUGUUGGCUUCUCGUGGAGUUUGAGUUUUUGGACAGUGACGUAGGAUGGCUGUGUUGCCCAGACAAGAGAAGAAAAAGAAGAACCUGUUGCUUAAGUUCUGGAGACAUUUUUGUUGCUGUUGUUUACUGAGCAUGUGAAGGGAGGUCUUUCUGCCUUGCCUGUUUUAUUUUCAGGAAGCAGGGUUGGGAAUGAACCCUGGCGCUGAGACAGCCAUCCUGAAGCUAGAACAAGCCGGAAGAACAAAUAAACCCCAGUUUCUUGUAUCCUGGCUGAUGUAUUUAGUGAAUGGCCUAGGGGGCUGAACAACCUGCAUUAAAGCUUGCUGCAGAUACAUGAGACAGAGUCAACUGAGCUUGGGGCAGCUCUCCAAGACGGAUGCUGUGCCCAAUUUAAAAAGACAAAGUCAAAUAGGAUGAGGUUUGGGUUUGAACUUUUGUUUUUUUUUUCAGAUGACCUCAGUAUGUAGCCUACGACUUUUUUUAAACUGGUGUUUCUCCUGCCUGGGCCCUCUGAAUACUAGAAAUGCAGGUAUGCACCAUGGGGUUGAGGUGUUAACCAUUUCUAAAAUAAAAUAAACCUGUAAGGCUUUAAGUAACACUAAAAAUAAAAAUAAAAGGGCAUUUUGUACA